rnacentral:rRNA from 1 species
CCUACGGGUGGCAGCAGUAGGGAAUUUUGCGCAAUGGGCGAAAGCCUGACGCAGCAACACCGCGUGAAUGUUAAGCCCUUCGGGGUGUAAAGUUCUGUCAAUAGGGACGAAUUUUGACUGUACCUAUAAAGGAAGCACCGGCUAACUCCGUGCCAGCAGCCGCGGUAAUACGGGGGGUGCAAGCGUUGUCCGGAAUCAUUGGGCGUAAAGCGUUCGUAGGCGGCAAGGUAAGUCUGAUGUUAAAGCCCGGGGCUCAACUCCGGUUCGGCAUUGGAUACUAUCUAGCUAGAAUGUGGUAGAGGUAAAGGGAAUUCCUGGUGUAGCGGUGAAAUGCGUAGAUAUCAGGAGGAACAUCGGUGGCGAAAGCAGCAUGCCGGCUCCACACUGACGCUGAGGCACGAAAGCGUGGGUAUCGAACAGGAUUAGAUACCCCAGUAGUC